GUUGUAUAGUCAAGUAAUUAAGUGCAUGUGGUGGAUGCCUUGGCAGUCAGAGGCGAUGAAAGACGUGAUAGCCUGCGAAAAGCUCCGGGGAGGCGGCAAAUAUCCUUUGAUCCGGAGAUGUCUGAAUGGGGGAACCCACCUACUUUAAGGUAGGUAUUGCAACAUGAAUACAUAGUGUUGCAAGGCGAACGAGGGGAAGUGAAACAUCUCAGUACCCUUAGGAAAAGAAAUCAAUUGAGAUUCCCUCAGUAGCGGCGAGCGAACGGGGAUCAGCCCCUUAAGUUAUGUGUGUUUUAGUGGAACGCUCUGGGAAGUGCGAACGUAGAGGGUGAUAUUCCCGUACACGAAAGGGCACACAUAAUGAUGACGAGUAGGGCGAGGCACGUGAAACCUUGUCUGAAUAUGGGGGGACCAUCCUCCAAGGCUAAAUACUCCUGACUGACCGAUAGUGAACCAGUACCGUGAGGGAAAGGCGAAAAGAACCCCUGUGAGGGGAGUGAAAUAGAUCCUGAAACCGCAUGCAUACAAGCAGUGGGAGCACCUUCGUGGUGUGACUGCGUACCUUUUGUAUAAUGGGUCAGCGACUUAUAUUCAGUAGCGAGGUUAACCGUAUAGGGGAGCCGUAGAGAAAUCGAGUCUUAAUAGGGCGUUUAGUUGCUGGGUAUAGACCCGAAACCAGGCGAUCUAUCCAUGAGCAGGUUGAAGGUUGGGUAACACUAACUGGAGGACCGAACCCACUGUCGUUGAAAAGCCAGGGGAUGACUUGUGGAUAGGGGUGAAAGGCUAAUCAAGCCUGGUGAUAGCUGGUUCUCCCCGAAAGCUAUUUAGGUAGCGCCUCGGACGAAUACCAUAGGGGGUAGAGCACUGUUUCGGCUAGGGGGUCAUCCCGACUUACCAAACCGAUGCAAACUCCGAAUACCUAUGAGUACUAUCCGGGAGACAGACUGCGGGUGCUAACGUCCGUAGUCAAGAGGAAAACAAUCCAGACCGCCAGCUAAGGCCCCAAAAUCAUAGUUAAGUGGGAAACGAUGUGGGAAGGCAUAGACAGCUAGGAGGUUGGCUUAGAAGCAGCCACCCUUUAAAGAAAGCGUAAUAGCUCACUAGUCGAGUCGGCCUGCGCGGAAGAUGUAACGGGGCUAAAACUAUGUGCCGAAGCUGCGGAU
rnacentral:rRNA from 1 species